AAGCUCCAGCCCUUGAGUUCACAUAGAAGUUUUUGCGUCCAAAACGUAGAAAGAAACUAGGCAAGAUGACUAGCGUGUUAUCUGAUCUGAUCAAUACUGAAGAUCUCCUCAAGACUGAUCUGAUCAGCACUGAGAAUGAAAACCAGGAUGAUGUGGUUGCUACUGAAACUGAGAGCCUGGAAGAUGACCCAGUUCAAACAAUUAUAGACGGGUUCAAGCACUUCAAGACCAACUUUUACGA